rnacentral:rRNA from 1 species
AGUGUGGACGCCAGUCUGCAUGGAGCCGUCCUUGAAAUACCACCCUUUAAUGGCUGGUGUUCUAACGUAGACCCGUGAACCGGGUUGCGGACAGUGUCUGGUGGGUAGUUUGACUGGGGCGGUCUCCUCCUAAAGCGUAACGGAGGAGCACGAAGGUUGGCUAAUCCUGGUCGGACAUCAGGAGGUUAGUGCAAUGGCAUAAGCCAGCUUGACUGCGAGCGUGACGGCGCGAGCAGGUGCGAAAGCAGGUCAUAGUGAUCCGGUGGUUCUGAAUGGAAGGGCCAUCGCUCAACGGAUAAAAGGUACUCCGGGGAUAACAGGCUGAUACCGCCCAAGAGUUCAUAUCGACGGCGGUGUUUGGCACCUCGAUGUCGGCUCAUCACAUCCUGGGGCUGAAGUAGGUCCCAAGGGUAUGGCUGUUCGCCAUUUAAAGUGGUACGCGAGCUGGGUUUAGAACGUCGUGAGACAGUUCGGUCCCUAUCUGCCGUGGGCGCUGGAGAACUGAGGGGGGCUGCUCCUAGUACGAGAGGACCGGAGUGGACGCAUCACUGGUGUUCGGGUUGUCAUGCCAAUGGCACUGCCCGGUAGCUAAAUGCGGAAGAGAUAAGUGCUGAAAGCAUCUAAGCACGAAACUUGCCCCGAGAUGAGUUCUCCCUGAGACUACAAGUCUCCUGAAGGAACGUUGAAGACGACGACGUUGAUAGGCCGGGUGUGUAAGCGCAGCGAUGCGUUGAGCUAACCGGUACUAAUGAACCGUGAGGCU